rnacentral:rRNA from 1 species
AGAUUGAACGCUGGCGGCAGGCCUAACACAUGCAAGUCGAGCGGCAGCACGGGUACUUGUACCUGGUGGCGAGCGGCGGACGGGUGAGUAAUGCCUAGGAAUCUGCCUGAUAGUGGGGGAUAACGCUCGGAAACGGACGCUAAUACCGCAUACGUCCUACGGGAGAAAGCAGGGGACCUUCGGGCCUUGCGCUAUCAGAUGAGCCUAGGUCGGAUUAGCUAGUUGGUGGGUAAUGGCUCACCAAGGCGACGAUCCGUAACUGGUCUGAGAGGAUGAUCAGUCACACUGGAACUGAGACACGGUCCAGACUCCGUACGGGAGCAGCAGUGGGGAAUAGUUGACAAGUGGG